CCCUCUCAACCCUCGUGCUCUCGCCGCAGCGCUCGCCACUUGCCCCGCACCACUCGCUCGGCCCUCCCAAUCCUCGCGCCUCCACUUUGUGUUCCACAACGCGAGCCGCAAGGUGCGGCUGUGCCCCCUCCAUUGAUCGAGGCGGCGGUGGCUCUUCAAAUCCAAGGAGUACGAGGCUGCGGCGGUCAAGGUGUGGAUCUGGUGAGGGAGGCAUCGAUCUGCCAUCUGUUCCCGAAGGCGUGCAGCGCUCGCCACUUGCCCCGCACCACUCGCUCGGCCCUCCCAAUCCUCGCGCCUCCACUUUGUGUUCCACAACGCGAGCCGCAAGGUGCGGCUGUGCCCCCUCCAUUGAUCGAGGCGGCGGUGGCUCUUCAAAUCCAAGGAGUACGAGGCUGCGGCGGUCAAGGUGUGGAUCUGGUGAGGGAGGCAUCGAUCUGCCAUCUGUUCCCGAAGGCGUGUUGGAUCCGGUGAGGGAGGACGCAUUCAGGAUGAGGCAGCUGGAGUGGCAACGAGCUCGAGCCUAGGAGUUGGCGGCAGAAGAGGGUGCUCGACCAUUCCUCCCCUGCAUGACGUGCUUCAUUCCAUGGCUGGAGCUGCACCCGUCAAGCAAGCACGAGCCCAGCAGUUAGCGCCGGUCAGCUCUGUCGGACGCCGACCCUCUCUUGUUAAUCAGUUUAGCCUAAUUUGCUUUUCAUAUUCCACAGCGAUACAGUGCCAUUGAUCUUCAUGUGCAAAGCGAUUUGUGCAAAUCUCAACACAUGAAAAUUAGCUUUUUGGGUUAGAGUACAUAUAAUGCAACUCAUAUUUCUUGGUCCAGUGAGCAUAUAUUUAGCAAUGAACUCCGGACAUCUUGCAAGACUUCGGACUUAAUUUCUCUGAAUAAGCUUGUCAGAUUUACAUCAAAAGUAAAACAAGGGAUGCUAUAUUCAUUAAACAGGGAGUUCCUUCAUUAGCAGGUACCAUUUAUUAACAUAGUAUCAUGUGCCCCUGGUAUAUUAGGUUUUCAAGAAGAUUCUGGCAACAAUAUGAAUUAUCAUAUAAGCAAUAAUAAAUUGUAGUAAACAAUUCAACGCUAUAUGCAUACCCUGAUUUGCAGUUUUGCUAGACAAAAGAAUGUUCUCUAGCCAAUGUAUGUGAGCAGGACAAGUCAGAGGAAAUUGGAGCUAACAUCUACUGAAGGAAAAGUUCAUUCAGAACAAAAACAGUUGGAUUUCUCUACCAAAUGUGAAGAUGCCAUUUUUUGUGCAUUGUUUUUGCUAUUCCUGUCAUUGCAUACAUCCCUUGAUUGCUAGAAAUAUUCCCACUGAAGGUUCAGAAAACAUUGUUGUACUGCUGAGAUGAUUCAUCGAACAUAUUGACAUUCCUUAAUGUUUCCUAGUAUUCUUAUAACUGUUCAUUCUAUUCUUGGUUCAGCUAGUUGACCCAUUGUGAGUUUAUAACUGUUUAGACAUUAAUGAAACUUGACUUCACUUGUGCAGAAUUGAUGCACCUAUAUUCUUAUAAUUUAUCUAUCCAAUUUAUAUGUUUUCAUUUGACAAUUUUGCUGCUGUCCUUGAUGUGUGUUACUCCUGCCAAUCAUAAUUUCAUACAAUUAUUAUUAUGCUUCUAGCAGGCCGUGAAGCAGCCUGGCAAUGAUAGCGAGCAGUCAGCCAACUUCACCAGUGCGGUGAAGUCCAGGGUGUCUGAUCUGAAUGAUAUAUGGAUCUGGGUACCCUAGUCAUCCCAUGCAUAUUCGAAGUGGCGCUUAUGAUUCUCACUGCAGAAAUUUCCAUGAAGACAAGACUAAUUUGUAAUGGGCUGAGCUACGUACAACAAACUGCUGCUGGGAUGUAACCUAGAUAGUGCGAAGGACUCCUUUUGUGUAGUCUGACAUGCUCCUACAAACUCAAAUAUAAGUAGGUGCUAAACUUGCUUUGUAGUCGACUCUGAUCAGUCAAUGGCACUUGUAUUUAGACGGCUUAUAAAAAAGUGAUCAGUUAUAUGUUUAUUCAGUGCAAAUAUUUUGAUUUCUGGGUGGAUGUAUAAAUGGUGGCAUUGUGUAUAACUGUAUUCUGAUUAUGAGAGGUAUAUGUUCCUGUA